GGGCCCUUCGGGGUGCCGACGAGUGGCGGACGGGUGAGUAACGCAUCGGAAUCUACCCAGAGGUGGGGGACAACCCAGGGAAACCUGGGCUAAUACCGCGUAUUGCGCCGGCUUGGAAGCCGAGCGUGAAAGCUGGCCUCUACUUGUAAGCUAGCGCCCCUGGAUGAGCUCGCGGCCUAUCAGCUAGUUGGUGGGGUAAUGGCCUACCAAGGCGAUGACGGGUAGCUGGCGUGAGAGCGCGACCAGUCACACUGGGACUGAGACACGGCCCAGACUCCUACGGGAGGCAGCAGUGGGGAAUAUUGCGCAAUGGGCGAAAGCCUGACGCAGCGACGCCGCGUGGGGGAGGAAGGCCCCAGGGUUGUAAACCCCUGUCAGGUGGGACGAACCCCGGUACGUCGAACAGGCGUACCGACUGACGGUACCACCAGAGGAAGCUCCGGCUAACUCCGUGCCAGCAGCCGCGGUAAUACGGAGGGAGCAAGCGUUGUUCGGAAUUACUGGGCGUAAAGGGCGCGUAGGCGGCCUGGUAAGUCGCAUGUGAAAGGCCGGGGCUCAACCCCGAGCACUGCAUGCGAUACUGCCUGGCUAGAGAGAGGUAGGGGCGAGCGGAAUUCCCGGUGUAGCGGUGGAAUGCGUAGAUAUCGGGAAGAACACCUGUGGCGAAGGCGGCUCGCUGGACCUUUUCUGACGCUGAA
rnacentral:rRNA from 1 species